UAAAGAACAUGUUAAAAUUAGAAUGAGGUUAAAUUUAAAUAAUACAUGAUUAAUAGCCAUUGAAAUUGGAGAAUGCUUCUGGAGAUCAUAUUUUAUUUUUCUUGUUUGCAAGCCCCUCCCAUUGAUAUACCACCUCCAAAUGACCUUGGGCUACCUCAUCUUAUGAAAGCCACUUCUCUGUUUAGAAAUGAAACAGGAAGCACAUUUGUUUUGAUGUUGGAAAGAGAUUUAGAGCUGUCUGAAAUGCGAUCUCUUUGUUUGUUUACAAAAUUUUGAUAAAGAGGUAUUGAAUUACAUAACAGUUUAUUUGAAGUUCUAGUGGAG
rnacentral:lncRNA from 1 species